UCGGGCUAACUAUAUCCAUAACACCUGUGAACUGUUGAUUGACUUCGGUCAAUAUUUUUACAAACAUUGUGUAAUGAACGUCAUGUUAUAAUAACAAAUAUAACUUUCAACAACGGAUCUCUUGGCUCUCGCAUCGAUGAAGAACGCAGCUGAGGAUCAUUAGUGAUUUGCCUUCGGGCUAAACUAUAUCCAUAACACCUGUGAACUG
rnacentral:misc_RNA from 1 species